UUCGGCCAUAUCACGUUAAACCGCCGUUUCUCGUACGAUCACAGUAGUUAAGCAAAGACGAGGCAGGUCAAUACCUAGAGGGGUGAUCGCUUGAGAAUACCAGGUGCUGUAAG